AACGUAGGUGGCAAGCGUUGUCCGGAAUUACUGGGUGUAAAGGGAGCGCAGGUGGGAAGAUAAGUUGGAUGUUUAAUCUACGGGCUCAACCCGUAUCAGCAUUCAAAACUGUCUUUCUUGAGUGGAGUAGAGGCAGGCGGAAUUCCCGGUGUAGCGGUGGAAUGCGUAGAUAUCGGGAGGAACACCAGCGGCGAAGGCGGCCUGCUGGGCUCUAACUGACACUGAGGCUCGAAAGCGUGGGGAGCAAACAGGAUUAGAUACCCUGGUAGUCCACGCCGUAAACGAUGAUUACUAGGUGUGGGGGGACUGACCCCCUCCGUGCCGCAGUUAACACAAUAAGUAAUCCACCUGGGGAGUACGACCGCAAGGUUGAA
rnacentral:rRNA from 1 species